CUAUAAAUAGAAAAGCUCUAAGGGUUUAGACUGCUACCCAGGCUGGGCAGCAGGGGGAGGGGCAGGCCGACAAGAGCACCCUCAGCAAGGGGAAGUCCAGAGAAGGAGGCAAAGCUGGAAGAUUCUGGAUCUGCAUGGGGACCUUGGAGGCACUAGCAUGCCACCCAAGGACUGGUGUGAGCAGCUGUCCUUGGAGCAGAAGUGUUCAUCACAAAGACUUAGGCAAGGAGACUCUCCCCCCAGGCAGGGUGAUCCUUAAGAGCCAGCGUGGGACGUGAAGGCCGUGAGGGACACAAGGGGAAUCCUUGAACCCAGGACCGGCUGUCAGGGAUCGUCACUAGCGGAUCUUCUAGGCUGCAGUGUCUCUGACAGAGCUGCUAGACUCUCAUCCCCUCAGUGUGGAUUUUGGAUCCAGAAGCCAUGAAACGGUGCAGAGUCAGCAUGGUGGCAAACCGGACUGCUCGCUUGACGGGGAAAGCGAGGGGAGAGGAUAAAGACCUCAACCUUCUGUUGGACGACUAUGGCACCAGGUCUAGAGGCAAAGCAAGUGGUGUCAGUCAUUUGGCGGAGUGACGCAGGCCAGGGAGAGCCAGCAAUGUGAAAGAAGUGAAAGUAAGAGUCAAACUAGAGCGGUGGUGCUGAGGUCUUCUCAAACACCUUGCUAAGAACUCACUGGCUCAUGUGCCCACCAAAGUAUGACAAAAGGCACCGGCCAGGUCCAACAGAACAUGUCUGAAAUACUGGACUCCUGCUGCAUGAGCACGGAGAGCUCAUAAGCCGAGCUCGGAUGCCCAGAGCACAGGACACUUGGCGUGGAGGGAUCAGUGUUGAGCCUGGGGUCCGGUGGCUGCCACCUGCUCACACUGCACAGCAGCUACUCUGAGGGCGUCAGACAGAAAGUGGAAAACCUCUAUGGGGAUUUCAGGUCAGAUCCCACUCUUACUGGGCUACUGAGACUGCUUUCCCUGACAGCCCUGGCUGGUGGUUCUGUUGUAUCUGUGGUUGACAAACAGGCCCUCGAUUCCUUGAGUCUCCAAAGUAUGACUUCAUGGUCCCACACUCAACCACGGCAGUGACUGCCACAGAGAGGAUGCUUGCCACCCAGGGAUGAGUCUCAAAUAGGAAGUUGACAACUGAAUCAUCUGUGGGCUCACAUUUCAUCCAGAGCUACCAGAAGGGAUCACCAAAUGGCCAGUUGGUGCUAGGGUUUCCCUUCCCAUGAGGCACCUCGGGGAGUCAACUGUGAAAAAAAAAAA
rnacentral:sRNA from 1 species